rnacentral:lncRNA from 1 species
CUUUUAGCGAUAUGAUCAGAAGUCUAGGAGUUGCAUCUAGUUCUUAGAGAAGUCAGUGACCAUGCAAGUGAACCUUGUGUCAGACAGGUUCAGCUAGGCUAUGUUAUGUAACAGUGCCCAAAUCUCAACGGCUUAAAAUCACAAAAGCUUCUCUCUCACACUGCAUGUCUACGAUAGUCUGGCAGAGGGCUCUCAUCAUAAGUUAUUCAGGAAUCCAAGCCAUGGAGCUCCACCAUUUGAGAUCCUACCGUGUCACCAUGAGGAUUAGAGCGCCCCCGUCCCAUCCCCUGUGAAACUCUACUGAAGCUCACCCUUGCUGGAUUUCAUGAAGAAAACUGCCAUACGGAGAUGUCCACAUGCCAAGGAACUGAGGAUGGCCUCUGGCAGACAGCCCAUGAGCACAAGGAAUUGAAUCCUGCCAACAAUGAUAUUAGCUUGCAAAUAUAUCCUUCCCCAGUUAAGCCUCAAAUGAGACUCCAGUCCUGGCUGACACCUUGAUUGCAGCCUUGUAAGACCCUGAAGCAGAGAAUCCAGAUAAGCCAUACCCAGAUUCCUGAUACACAGAAAAUGAAAUAAUAAAUGUGUGUUGUUUUAAGCUGCUAA